rnacentral:rRNA from 1 species
GACGAACGCUGGCGGCGUGCUUAACACAUGCAAGUCGAACGGAAAGGCCCUGCUUUUGUGGGGUGCUCGAGUGGCGAACGGGUGAGUAACACGUGAGUAACCUGCCCUUGACUUUGGGAUAACUUCAGGAAACUGGGGCUAAUACCGGAUAGGAGCUCCUGCUGCAUGGUGGGGGUUGGAAAGUUUCGGCGGUUGGGGAUGGACUCGCGGCUUAUCAGCUUGUUGGUGGGGUAGUGGCUUACCAAGGCUUUGACGGGUAGCCGGCCUGAGAGGGUGACCGGCCACAUUGGGGAUUGAGAACCGGCCAACCACCCGCGGGGGGGCAGAGGGGGGAAAUAUUGCAAAGGGGGGGAAAGCGUGCGCCGCAACCGCCGGGGGGGGAUUGCGGGCCUCGGGUUUGAAACCGCUUUCCCCGUGUAAGAAGGGGGGGGGACGGGAAUGGGGAAAGAAGCCCCCGCCAAAUAAC